CCUACGGGUGGCAGCAGUGGGGAAUAUUGCACAAUGGGCGCAAGCCUGAUGCAGCCAUGCCGCGUGUGUGAAGAAGGCCUUCGGGUUGUAAAGCACUUUCAGCGGGGAGGAAGGCGUUAAGGUUAAUAACCUUGUCGAUUGACGUUACCCGCAGAAGAAGCACCGGCUAACUCCGUGCCAGCAGCCGCGGUAAUACGGAGGGUGCAAGCGUUAAUCGGAAUUACUGGGCGUAAAGCGCACGCAGGCGGUCUGUCAAGUCGGAUGUGAAAUCCCCGGGCUCAACCUGGGAACUGCAUUCGAAACUGGCAGGCUAGAGUCUUGUAGAGGGGGGUGGAAUUCCAGGUGUAGCGGUGAAAUGCGUAGAGAUCUGGAGGAAUACCGGUGGCGAAGGCGGCCCCCUGGAUAAAGACUGACGCUCAGGUGCGAAAGCGUGGGGAGCAAACAGGAUUAGAUACCCCAGUAGUC
rnacentral:rRNA from 1 species